AACGAACGCUGGCGGCAUGCCUAACACAUGCAAGUCGAACGGGAUCCGGACUUCGGUCCGGUGAGAGUGGCGGACGGGUGAGUAACACGUGGGAACCUGCCUUUUGGUUCGGGAUAACCGCGGGAAACUGCGGCUAAUACCGGAUGCUCCCGAGAGGGAAAAGAUUUAUCGCCAGAAGAGGGGCCCGCGUCCGAUUAGGUAGUUGGUGGGGUAAUGGCCUACCAAGCCUACGAUCUAUAGCUGGUCUGAGAGGACGACCAGCCACACUGGAACUGAGACACGGUCCAGACUCCUACGGGAGGCAGCAGUGGGGAAUAUUGGACAAUGGGCGAAAGCCUGAUCCAGCAAUGCCGCGUGAGUGAUGAAGGCCUUAGGGUGUAAAGCUCUUUACCCGGGAUAGAUAAUGACAGUACC
rnacentral:rRNA from 1 species